AUGAGCAACCUGACAAGUUCACUAAAACUGGAGCGAUGCAGAGAGUAUUAGCAUGGCCCCUGGCACAAGGAUGACAUGCAUAAUCAUGGAAGCAGCCCUCUUUUGU